GACGAACGCUGGCGGCGUGCCUAAUACAUGCAAGUCGAGCGGACGGAUGGGAGCUUGCUCCCAGACCGUCAGCGGCGGACGGGUGAGUAACACGUGGGCAACCUGCCUGUAAGACUGGGAUAACUCCGGGAAACCGGGGCUAAUACCGGAUAACUCUUUCCCUCACAUGAGGGAAAGCUGAAAGAUGGCAUCUCGCUAUCACUUACAGAUGGGCCCGCGGCGCAUUAGCUAGUUGGUGAGGUAACGGCUCACCAAGGCGACGAUGCGUAGCCGACCUGAGAGGGUGAUCGGCCACACUGGGACUGAGACACGGCCCAGACUCCUACGGGAGGCAGCAGUAGGGAAUCUUCCGCAAUGGACGAAAGUCUGACGGAGCAACGCCGCGUGAGUGAUGAAGGUUUUCGGAUCGUAAAACUCUGUUGUCAGGGAAGAACAAGUACCGGGGUAACUGCCGGUACCUUGACGGUACCUGACCAGAAAGCCACGGCUAACUACGUG
rnacentral:rRNA from 1 species